CACCAUCAGAACAAGAUGUCAAUGUAUCCAGUACUUUGGUUUAUAACUAAAUACCUGCAAAACUAAUAACUUUUCCAUCAGCCUCAACUGUACUUUGUGUUAAGCGCUAAUUAGCAAAUGUUAAUUAGCAUGCUAACACACUAAACUAAGUAACAUGGUGUAAACAUUGUC